CCUUUUGUAUAAUGGGUCAGCGACUUAUAUUCUGUAGCAAGGUUAACCGAAUAGGGGAGCCGAAGGGAAACCGAGUCUUAACUGGGCGUUAAGUUGCAGGGUAUAGACCCGAAACCCGGUGAUCUAGCCAUGGGCAGGUUGAAGGUUGGGUAACACUAACUGGAGGACCGAACCGACUAAUGUUGAAAAAUUAGCGGAUGACUUGUGGCUGGGGGUGAAAGGCCAAUCAAACCGGGAGAUAGCUGGUUCUCCCCGAAAGCUAUUUAGGUAGCGCCUCGUGAAUUCAUCUCCGGGGGUAGAGCACUGUUUCGGCAAGGGGGUCAUCCCGACUUACCAACCCGAUGCAAACUGCGAAUACCGGAGAAUGUUAUCACGGGAGACACACGGCGGGUGCUAACGUCCGUCGUGAAGAGGGAAACAACCCAGACCGCCAGCUAAGGUCCCAAAGUCAUGGUUAAGUGGGAAACGAUGUGGGAAGGCCCAGACAGCCAGGAUGUUGGCUUAGAAGCAGCCAUCAUUUAAAGAAAGCGUAAUAGCUCACUGGUCGAGUCGGCCUGCGC
rnacentral:rRNA from 1 species